AGGGGAGGUCGGAUCCUGGGCUGUGUCCCAGCACCUUGUGCUCCCGGGCCUGUGCUGUUGCAUUCGUGCUCUGGGCCGCGCAGCCCCCU
rnacentral:pre_miRNA from 1 species